rnacentral:rRNA from 1 species
AUUGAACGCUGGCGGCAUGCCUUACACAUGCAAGUCGAACGGCAGCACGGACUUCGGUCUGGUGGCGAGUGGCGAACGGGUGAGUAAUGCAUCGGAACGUGCCAUUGAGUGGGGGAUAACGUAGCGAAAGUUGCGCUAAUACCGCAUAUUCUGUGAGCAGGAAAGCAGGGGACCGCAAGGCCUUGCGCUCUUUGAGCGGCCGAUGUCAGAUUAGCUAGUUGGUGAGGUAAAGGCUUACCAAGGCGACGAUCUGUAGCGGGUCUGAGAGGAUGAUCCGCCACACUGGAACUGAGACACGGUCCAGACUCCUACGGGAGGCAGCAGUGGGGAAUUUUGGACAAUGGGGGCAACCCUGAUCCAGCCAUGCCGCGUGAGUGAAGAAGGCCUU